UGGGGAAUAUUGCACAAUGGGCGCAAGCCUGAUGCAGCCAUGCCGCGUGUAUGAAGAAGGCCUUCGGGUUGUAAAGUACUUUCAGCGGGGAGGAAGGUGUUGAGGUUAAUAACCUCAGCAAUUGACGUUACCCGCAGAAGAAGCACCGGCUAACUCCGUGCCAGCAGCCGCGGUAAUACGGAGGGUGCAAGCGUUAAUCGGAAUUACUGGGCGUAAAGCGCACGCAGGCGGUGUGUCAAGUCGGAUGUGAAAUCCCCGGGCUCAACCUGGGAACUGCAUUCGAAACUGGCAGGCUAGAGUCUUGUAGAGGGGGGUAGAAUUCCAGGUGUAGCGGUGAAAUGCGUAGAGAUCUGGAGGAAUACCGGUGGCGAAGGCGGCCCCCUGGACAAAGACUGACGCUCAGGUGCGAAAGCGUGGGGAGCAAACA
rnacentral:rRNA from 1 species